AUUAUCGAUACCGCCAGCUCAGGCUACUAUCACAAAGUAAUUGAUUGUCCAGAGAAUGCUCGCUAUAGAUCAGUUGAUGGGUCUUGUAACAACUUAAGACAUCCAACUUGGGGACAGGCUGGAACAGCUCAGAGAAGACUGAAGGAUAUAAAUGGAAGACCGAUGGUAUCAUAUGAGGACGGGAAAAGCUUGCCAAGAGGUUUUCCGAACAGACUUCCCGAUCCACGACUGGUUAGUAAUGUAGCUUCUGAUCCUGCAUUAGGACCAUUUAAUCAGUUUGAUAAAAUCAGAACAGGGCAACACAUGGCAUUUGGGCAAUUACUGGCACACGAUUUUAUAGAAACGGAUAU